rnacentral:rRNA from 1 species
AUUGAACGCUGGCGGCAUGCUUUACACAUGCAAGUCGAACGGUAACAGGUUAAGCUGACGAGUGGCGAACGGGUGAGUAAUGCUUCGGAACGUGCCCGGUCGUGGGGGAUAACGCAGCGAAAGCUGCGCUAAUACCGCAUACGAUCUGAGGAUGAAAGCGGGGGACCGUAAGGCCUCGCGCGAUCGGAGCGGCCGAUGUCAGAUUAGGUAGUUGGUGAGGUAAAGGCUCACCAAGCCAACGAUCUGUAGCUGGUCUGAGAGGACGACCAGCCACACUGGGACUGAGACACGGCCCAGACUCCUACGGGAGGCAGCAGUGGGGAAUUUUGGACAAUGGGCGAAAGCCUGAUCCAGCAAUGCCGCGUGCAGGAAGAAGGCCUUCGGGUUGUAAACUGCUUUUGUACGGAGCGAAAAGGCUCUCUCUAAUACAGGGGGCUCAUGACGGUACCGUAAGAAUAAGCACCGGCUAACUACGUGCCAGCCGCCGCGGUAAAAC